AUUGAACGCUGGCGGCAGGCCUAACACGUGCAAGUCGAACGGUAACAGGAAACAGCUGGCUGUUUCGCUGACGAGUCGCGGACGGGUGAGUAAUGUCUGGGACACUGCCUGAGGGAGGGGGAUAACUACUAGAAACGGUCGCUAAUACCGCAUAACGUCGCAAGACCAAAGAGGGGGACCUUCGGGCCUUUGGCCAACGGAUGCGCCGAGAUGGGAUUAGCUAGUAGGUGGGGUAACGGCUCACCUAGGCGACGAUCCCUAGCUGGUCUGAGAGGAUGACCAGCCACACUGGAACUGAGACACGGUCCAGACUCCUACGGGAGGCAGCAGUGGGGAAUAUUGCACAAUGGGCGCAAGCCUGAUGCAGCCAUGCCGCGUGUAUGAAGAAGGCCUUCGGGUUGUAAAGUACUUUCAGCGGGGAGGAAGGGAGUAAAGUUAAUACCUUUGCUCAUUGACGUUACCCGCAGAAGAAGCACCGGCUAACUCCGUGCCAGCCGCCGCAGUAA
rnacentral:rRNA from 1 species